GGGCCUCUCUUACCCCGGGAGAAUACGUUAUUGUACCAUCCACGUAUGACCUCAACCAAGAGGGGCGACUUUUACAUCCGAGUGUAUUGUGAGAAAGGAACAGACGACCGGAUUUACUGAAACCUCACAGACCGCGUCAGCCCAUACCCUGGUUACUAAGAAGAUGGUGCUGCACCUCCACCCAAGUCCAGAAGUACAAUGACCCCGAGGCCCCCUCAUCUGUGGAUGGGAAACACUGACGGCGCGUUACAAUCCUAUAAAACACCAACAAUUUUCUGAUGUCUCCAGAACAGUAAAAGAGAAAUCUGUGUUAUCAUUGAGUGUCCUGUGUCACUGACGGAGCACAAACACCUCUCAGCUACUCCAUUCAUGUCUAAAGCCACUAAAUCCCAUGUAGUGAGGAUAUCCAUCACCUGGGACAAUGCUUCAGCUGACUACCCUAACCAGGGCCCCCUUUCCUGGCACUAAGUAGGGGCCACAGCCCCUACCCCAGAACCACACGUGUCCCUGAUGACAUACAGAAUGCAGCUACUUCCAGCGCCGUCUAUUACUGGCCGAGUAGGAGACAGAAUUUUCUGCAAAAACUGAGGGAAAAUAAAGCAGCGCACCUCUGGCCACACCCAUUUCCUAAAAAUCCAUGCCCCUUUCCUGAACAAAGUUAAAAUAAAAUAAAAACUUGGAGAAAUCCUA